ACAAAGAUUAGUGCUUGAAAUUGUACCUAAAGGGACGGUUAGUUCUUUAUCAUCUUUAGUAUUAAAACCCGUACUUCAUGACCGAAUCAAAGAGGCUCAGAAAGUGGAUAAGUAUUUGUCUAGGUUACGAAGUAUGAUUAAUGCUAAGAAGAGGCCGAACUUCUCUAUUGGUAAUGAUGAAAUGAUUCGAUAUAAAGGCA
rnacentral:lncRNA from 1 species